UGCUCCAUCCUCUGAACCAAA
rnacentral:piRNA from 1 species